AUACGUAGGGGGCUAGCGUUAUCCGGAAUUACUGGGCGUAAAGGGUGCGUAGGCGGCCUUGUAAGUCAGAUGUGAAAGAUCAUGGCUUAACUGUGGUAAGCAUUUGAAACUGCAGGGCUUGAGUACAGGAGAGGAGAGUGGAAUUCCUAGUGUAGCGGUGAAAUGCGUAGAUAUUAGGAGGAAUACCAGUGGCGAAGGCGACUCUCUGGACUGAUACUGACGCUGAGGCACGAAAGCGUGGGGAGCAAACAGGAUUAGAUACCCUGGUAGUCCACGCUAUAAACGAUGAGUGCUAGGUGUCGGGGGUCAAACCUCGGUGCCGCAGUUAACACAUUAAGCACUCCGCCUGGGGAGUACGGCCGCAAGGCUGAAACUCAAAGGAAUUGACGGGG
rnacentral:rRNA from 1 species